rnacentral:rRNA from 1 species
CCUUCGGGUCGUAAAGCUCUUUAGGUUGGGAAGAAGUUUAUUUGGUGAAUAUCCAAGUAGAUUGACGGUACCGACAGAAUAAGCACCGGCAAACUCUGUGC